rnacentral:rRNA from 1 species
GAUUAAGUUAUUAAGGGCGCACGGUGGAUGCCUUGGCACUAGAAGCCGAUGAAGGACGUUACUAACAACGAUAUGCUUUGGGGAGCUGUAAGUAAGCUUUGAUCCAGAGAUUUCCGAAUGGGGAAACCCAGCAUGAGUUAUGUCAUGUUAUCGAUAUGUGAAUACAUAGCAUAUCAGAAGGCACACCCGGAGAACUGAAACAUCUUAGUACCCGGAGGAAGAGAAAGAAAAUUCGAUUCCCUUAGUAGCGGCGAGCGAAACGGGAAGAGCCCAAACCAACAAGCUUGCUUGUUGGGGUUGUAGGACACUCUAUACGGAGUUACAAAGGACGACAUUAGACGAAUCAUCUGGAAAGAUGAAUCAAAGAAGGUAAUAAUCCUGUAGUCGAAAAUGUUGUCUCUCUUGAGUGGAUCCUGAGUACGACGGAGCACGUGAAAUUCCGUCGGAAUCUGGGAGGACCAUCUCCUAAGGCUAAAUACUCUCUAGUGACCGAUAGUGAACCAGUACCGUGAGGGAAAGGUGAAAAGCACCCCGGAAGGGGAGUGAAAUAGAACCUGAAACCGUGUGCUUACAAGUAGUCAGAGCCCGUUAAUGGGUGAUGGCGUGCCUUUUGUAGAAUGAACCGGCGAGUUACGAUUUGAUGCAAGGUUAAGCAGUAAAUGUGGAGCCGUAGCGAAAGCGAGUCUGAAUAGGGCGUUUAGUAUUUGGUCGUAGACCCGAAACCAGGUGAUCUACCCUUGGUCAGGUUGAAGUUCAGGUAACACUGAAUGGAGGACCGAACCGACUUACGUUGAAAAGUGAGCGGAUGAACUGAGGGUAGCGGAGAAAUUCCAAUCGAACCUGGAGAUAGCUGGUUCUCUCCGAAAUAGCUUUAGGGCUAGCCUCAAGUGAUGAUUAUUGGAGGUAGAGCACUGUUUGGACGAGGGGCCCCUCUCGGGUUACCGAAUUCAGACAAACUCCGAAUGCCAAUUAAUUUAACUUGGGAGUC